rnacentral:piRNA from 1 species
UGAAUUCCGCGUCAUUUAUGUCCACAGG